UACGUAGGGGGCAAGCGUUGUCCGGAUUUAUUGGGCGUAAAGAGCGUGUAGGCGGCCAGGUAGGUCCGUUGUGAAAACUCGAGGCUCAACCUCGAGACGCCGAUGGAAACCAUGUGGCUAGAGUCCGGAAGAGGAGAGUGGAAUUCCUGGUGUAGCGGUGAAAUGCGCAGAUAUCAGGAGGAACACCGGUGGCGAAGGCGGGUCUCUGGGCCGAUACUGACGCUGAGGAGCGAAAGCGUGGGGGAGCGAACAGG
rnacentral:rRNA from 1 species